rnacentral:rRNA from 1 species
GACGAACGCUGGCGGCGUGCUUAACACAUGCAAGUCGUACGGUAAGGCCCUUUCUGGGGUGCACGCGUGGCGAACGGGUGGGUAACACGUGCGUAACCUGCCCACCACUUUGGGAUAACGCUAGUAAACUGGUUCUAAUACUGAAUAUGUGCUCCUGCUGCCUGGUGGGGGUUGGAAAGCUCCGGCGGUUGUGGGUGGACUCGCGGCCUACCAGCUUGCUGGUGGGGUAGUGGCCUACCAAGGCGGCGACGGGUAGGCGGCCUGAGAGGGUGACCGGCCACAUUGGGGCUGAGAGACGGCCCAGACUCCUACGGGAGGCAGCAGGGGGGAAUAUUGCACAAUGGGCGCAAGCCUGAUGCAGCAACGCCGCGGGCGGGAGGACGGCCUUCGGGUUGGAAACCGCUUUCAGCAGGGACGAAGCUUUUUGUGACGGUACCUGCAGAAGAAGCACCGGCUAACUACGUG